rnacentral:ncRNA from 1 species
CCUAUAUCUAGUGGUCACGGUCGCUCGAUUCGUAUUCGAGCGGGCAAGAGGGAAUUCGGGCGCGGAGCUUUGGCACCGCCAAACCGAAGCUGCCCCCGCAACUGUAAGUGGUGAGUCUACGUCCAACUGAUGUCACUGGCGUCGCAUGGCGCCGGGAAGGCAGGGCGUGGGCGGCGAUCCACAGCCAGGAGACCUGCCGCGACGAUUGAGAUUGUC